rnacentral:misc_RNA from 1 species
CAGGGUUUUAGCAGCAAUGGCCAAUCUCUUCAAAAUCCAUAAACCUCUCUUCUCAGAGUGACGAAGUCUGGUUUUUUCCCGUUUCUUUAACCUUUCAUCCUGAGUUAUGGAGCUUCCCAGUCCUUCAGUUUCAAACAGAAAUCUGUUUGUUCCACGCUUUUCCUUCUUCACUCGCAAAUUUUCCUUUAAAACUUGCAACACCAAAACCCCCUCCAAAUUCCACAAAAACCUUUCUACUCCAUUCCAUUUAUCAUUCUCAACCACCAGAAUUGUGCAUGUUUCGGCCCGUUUUGGACGACCUACAAAUCGCAGGAAUUCCCUAAGGAAAAAGCUCGUUGAUUAUCAACAGGUGCGUCAAAAGAAUCCUAUUUCUCUAAAUCCAAGUUCUGAUUUUCAAAACCCGAAUCUCCAUUUUGAUAAUAUUGGUAAUACUCAAGAGAAUUUGGAUCAGGAUAGUCUGAAGGAGAUUGAUUCUAGGGAUGGUGUUGGUUUAGUUGAAUCCGAAUGUGAAAAAACAUGGGAAACACAAUCGAAAGAACUGGGUGAAUCAGUUUUCUCGACUAAGCUCGAUAAGUGGGUGCUUCAGUACAAUAAAGAUACUGCAUAUUGGGGUAUUGGGUCUGGUCCCAUUUUUACUGUUUUUCAUGAUUUAAAAGGAAAUAUCAAGCGGGUUUUAGUUCAUGAAGAUGAGAUCUUAAAGAGAAGCCAAGUUGAGAAGCGAGAAUUGGGGGAUUUAACAAAAUUAAAUUCUAAAAUUUCGUAUGCAAAGGAUUUGGCCAGACAGAUGGAGGAAGGGGGAAAUGUUAUUCCUAGAAAUAGUUCAGUUGCAAAAUUUGUUGUUUCCAGGGAAGAGUCUGGUUUUGUAAACGCAAUUCGUGAUGUUAUUCCGCAGCCCGAGUUUGUCCCAGUCCUUUCGGGGCUUGCGAAAUUGACAUUUUGUUUUUUUGUUGCAAUUGGGGCACUGAAGAAGUUGUUCACUUCGGGAAAUAAGGAGGAGCAGUUAACAGAAUUGGAGAAGGAAAUGAUGAGGAGAAAGAUAAAAUCUAGACAGGAAAAAGAAAUUCGCAACAAAGGUAGAGUUGAAGUUGUCCAAGAACCUUCUGAGCUACCAAUGUUGUCAACUGAAAAACCUAAGCUGGACAAGCAAGAACUAAUUAGAAAUAUACUUGAUGCAAAGGCAUCAAAGGAUAAAUUGGUGUUGGUAGAUUCUUCUGGUUCCCAAACUACCAGUGGCAUGGAUUUUGAUGAAAAAAUUCAAGAAAUUAGAGCAAUGGCUUGGAAGGCUCGGGAGAUUCAGAGCGGAGGAAAGCCAUUGGUUAAUGAGGAUAGAGAAGAAAAACAGUGUGUGGAUGAUGAAUCAUCUGGUAGGAUGGAGAUGUUUGAAGAGUACACAGAAGGCGUGAGUUUUCUAACUGACAUUCAAAAUGGAGAUUCUGAUCAAAGGAGGGAUAUGGAUGAUAUCAGAGUGGAGUUAUCUUUAGAAGGGUCAGAGGAUGAUGAUACCAGGCAUCUAAAUAAGGUGUCCUCUGAAAAGAAUAGGGUCAUGCAUUCUUCUAGCACUUCAGGUGUAGAAGUUUUAAAAGACAGGCAAACAAUGGCAAGUGGAGAAGUUACACAUUCCUCUGAUACUAUUGAUGAUGAAUGGUGCUUGCCAAAGGCAAAACCAAGGAUUAUACUUUCAGUCAAAGAAGCAAGGGAAUUCCUUGCUAAGAAAGAUAACAAAUGUGCCCAGGAACCCAAAGUUAACACAGUGCAAGAAGAAACAUCUAUGUUAAGUCCAUCUAGUGAUAAAAUAUCUGGUGGUAAAACAAGCCAAAGAGUGGAAACAGGUAGACUGCUGUUUGAACCUGUCAAUUCGGGCAAAAUGUCAGGUCCUUUGACUGCUGUGAAUUUUCUCAAAGAUUCAAUUCCAGAGGGGAAGGAACUUGUUUCAAACCAGAAAGAUGAUUCCAAUGAUUCUGAGGAAGAACAUGGGUUGCAUAAUCUUCAAAAUUCCCAAACACUCUUAAAUAAAGACAUUAAUGACAGCAUGGAGAGAAGACAGCCUGUACAGACACAAAACUGGAUGGAGAAAAAUUUUGUUGAAGUUGAACCCAUAAUUAAGAAGAUUGGUGAUGGAUUUAGGGAUAAUUACAAAAUUGCAAGAGAAAAUGUAAAUCAACAUGCAGGUAGUGAUGUAACACAUCUUAACUAUAGUGAAGAUGAUAGUGAACUUGAGUGGAUGAAAGAUGAUGAUCUUAGGGAAAUAGUUUUUCGAGUCCGAGAAAAUGAGUUGGCAGGGAGGGAUCCAUUUCAUUUGAUGGAUGCUGAAGAUAAACUUAAAUUCUUCAAAGGUCUUGAGAAGAAAGUUGAGAAAGAGAAUGAAAAAUUGUUUCAAGUUCAUGAAUAUCUCCAUUCAAAUAUUGAAAAUCUUGAUUAUGGAGCAGGUAAUUGAUUGCUUGUAAACCAUAUCAUUAACUAUUUUCCUUGUCCUUCAGUCUAAAAAAAUUAGUUGGAUAAUGGCGUGGCUAUUGUAUGUUAUUGACUUGGAUGCCCUUUCUUUCUUGUUUUAUUCUGAGGACUAAAGAUUUUCCUGUUGUAGUGGUUCCAAAUGGCUGAAAAUUCACAUCACUAAACCAAUUGGUUGAGUGUAAAUUUACAUGUCACUGAAAGCAUUUUUGAUCUUUUUGUUUUAAUCAAAUUAAUGCUAUUAUUUUCUUCUGCUCAUCCUGUAGAUGGUAUCAGCUUGUAUGAUACUCCAGAAAAGUUUAUACCUCGCUGGAAGGGGGCUCCAUUAGAAAAGAAUCCUGAGUUCCUCAACAACUUCCUAGAGCAACGUAAUGCAAGUUUUGCUCGAAAUGCUGGCACUUUGUACCUUGUGAAGGAGGAUGAACGAAACUUGAUUCAGAAAUCAACUGAAUCUCUAGCAGAUGAGAAUACUGCAACUUCCUUGUCAGAAAACGCUUUAGAGAAGAAUUUACGCAGUAAGAAUUCUAAAGAUUCUAAGACAGUAAUAGAAGGUAGUGAUGGUUCUGUUAGACCUGGAAAAAAAUCAGGCAAGGAAUAUUGGCAACACACAAAGAAAUGGUCCCGUGGGUUUUUGGAAUCUUACAAUUCAGAGACAGACCCAGAAAUGAAAUCUGUCAUGAAGGAUAUAGGAAAAGAUUUGGAUAGAUGGAUCACUGAAGAAGAAAUACAGGAGGCAGCUGAUCUGAUGAAGAAACUUCCUGAGAGAAAUAAGAAGUUCAUGGAAAAGAAAAUCAAUAAGUUAAAAAGAGAAAUGGAAUUGUUCGGACCACAAGCUGUAGUGAGCAAAUACAGUGAGUAUGCAGAAGAGAAGGAAGAAGAUUACUUGUGGUGGUUGGAUCUUCCACAUGUACUGUGCAUUGAAUUGUACACAACUCAGAAUGGGAAACAAGAGAUAGGAUUCUAUUCGUUGGAGAUGGCUGCAGAUCUUGAAUUGGAACCAAAACCAUAUCAUGUGAUUGCUUUUGAAGAUGCUGGUGAUUGCAAAAACCUAUGUUGUAUUAUUCAAACUCACAUGGAUAUGCUUGGAAAUGGCCAUGCCUUUGUUGUUCCAAGGCCUCCUAAGGUAGAGAUUUUUAUUUUUGCUAAUUAUAACUUUGACAUUUUCAGAAGAGUUCAAGAGAAUCUUCUGUCAUGCUAACAUGAACAUCAUUCUUUUGAUUUGUAAGAGAGAGCCUUAUUGUUAGCUGUAUUUAGAAACUAAUUUACCAAACUGAAUUAGUCAUUGCAGCACUUAGUAGAUUCUCAAGAAUAUGUGCUUGUGUCGGUGUGUGCUUGUGUACUUUGAGAAUUAUUUUUCUGAGUUGUGCGCAUUUGGGAGACUGGAAUAAUAUCAUGCUUUCAGAUUUGAUAAAUGAAAAAUAUGAGCGGAGAACUCUAUAGUGGAACCAACAUUUUAUGAGUCAUUAGUAUUUCUUUUCUCAUCACUUUCCAGCGGAAUAUAAGCAACCCUCUUGAUCAACAUCUUAUGCUCUUUUAGCAAUUGUAUCCUGUUAGUUGAAACAAUCUCAUGCUGAAUGCUAGGUGUGUUACUGUUUUGAUUGAGGAGAUGAGCAUUACAUUUCUACUUUCAUUUUUUUUUUCUUUUUUACUCCUUUUAUGUGGCUCUAACUGUUGAUUUUAGGAUGCCUUUCGGGAAGCCAAAGCAAGUGGUUUUGGUGUUACUAUUAUCAGGAAAAGAGAGCUAAAGCUGAAUGUAGAUCAAACCCUGGAAGACGUGGAGGAACAAAUCACUGAGAUUGGAAGCAAGAUGUAUCAUGAUAAGCUCAUGCGGGAGCGUUCUGUUGAUAUAAGUGCACUGAUGAAGGGUAUUUUUGGUGUCGAUGGCCAAAGUGCUAAUGCUAAAAGAAAAAAGCCAAAGCGGAAGCUGAAGAAGCCUAGCAAGAAAUGAAGAUGAUUUGUGCCUAACCAAGCAUGGGUGAGUGGUGAUGACAGUUGACCAUGACACCAUGUAAAAGGUUGUUGGCUGUGUAAGCUGCUUUACAAGGUCUGGGUUUUUUGUCUUGCUUCCAGUCAAGCAGAUCAGGAGCACAUGGAAGACCUUUUGUCCAAUGCUGAAUGCUUUAUCUAUCACAUAUGUUAUGUCAAAUUCAAUCUGCUGCUAGCUCUAUUUGAAGGUCCUUGCGUCAUGCAGUGAUGGCAGGUUGGCAACUUUGACAUUCAACUUUGCUGCCUACAGAAGGAUAAGCUGGAUAAUGGCUGGAGCUAAUGCACUAAUACAUACUAGCAAUUCUAUGUACAGCUGGGGGUGCUGCUCUGCGUCCAUCAGCAGUUUCCAUGACAUUGAUCUUCCCAGGUCUAAAGCGGGCAGAAUUCUUUGAGUUCAACAGAAAAGGUUCUGACCUGGUAAAAUUCAAAGCUGCUAGUGAAAAAUGACCUCUUUAUUUGUGAAUCGCUUGCUAUUCCUCAGUUUUGUAGGGGCAAUAACCAAUGGUUUGCAUGGUAACAAAUGGUUUACAUUUUCUAUGUUCAGCAUCAAUUUUCUAUUCUUAAGAAAGUGGGAAAGCGUGCAUGUAAUUGGUAUUGACGUCGAGAAGAAAACCCUUGGCUUUCCCUGCUUUUAUUUACCCCAGCGUGUCACGCAGUAUAAGUAGUAAUGUAAAUUUUAUGUAGAAAUCUAGUAUAUCUUACCAGACUGAUAUGGCUGAUCUAUA